UUUAAGCUCAACUCAACAUACUUGAAACUCACAAAGAAAGGGAAGGUCUCUGGUCUGAGUAUCUGGGCGCUGUUUCUUUUGAGCAACUAUUUCAAGACUUUGGAUAAUGGUGCUUCAAACUCAUCUUCGACAAAACAUACCUCCAAUGGCGUCGUCUUCUUCAACAUAAUCAAUUAAGAAGAGCUAUCAGUAUGAUGUGUUUUUGAGUUUCCGUGGUGAAGACACGCGUAAGAACUUUGUGGAUCACCUUUAUGAGGCUCUUCACCGACACGGUAUUCACACUUUCAAGGACGACGAGAGACUCAAACAAGGAGAAGGCAUCAAUAACCAGCUUUUGAAAGCUAUUGAAAAUUCCAAGUUUUUCAUCAUAGUUUUCUCAAAGAAAUACGCAUCUUCGUCUUG
rnacentral:lncRNA from 1 species